GUAGUUGUGGCUCAGUUGGUUAGAGUGCCUACAAUAAGUUAACCAGUGGUAAUUUCUAGUUUCACCACGAGGUUGCGGGUUCGAUCCCGGUCAACUGCC